CUAAGAAUAUUCCGCAAUGGACGAAAGUCUGACGGAGCGACGCCGCGUGAACGAAGAAGGCCGAAAGGUUGUAAAGUUCUUUUAUACCUGAAGAAUAAGUGGGACAGGGAAUGGUUUCAUGGUGACGGUAGGGUAUGAAUAAGCCACGGCAAAUUACGUGCCAGCAGCCGCGGUAACACGUAAGUGGCGAGCGUUGUUCGGAAUUAUUGGGCGUAAAGGGCAUGUAGGCGGUUACGCAAGCUUGGUGUGAAAUCCCGGUGCUUAACACCGGAACUGCAUUGAGAACUGCGUGACUUGAAUUACUGAGGGGAAACUAGAAUUCCAGGUGUAGGGGUGAAAUCUGUAGAUAUCUGGAAGAAUACCAAUGGCGAAGGCAAGUUUCUAGCAGAUAAUUGACGCUGAGGUGCGAAGGUGCGGGGAGCAAACA
rnacentral:rRNA from 1 species